rnacentral:rRNA from 1 species
UACGGGGGGGGCAAGCGUUGUUCGGAAUUACUGGGCGGAAAGGGCUCGUAGGUGGCCAACUAAGUCAGACGUGAAAUCCCUCGGCUUAACCGGGGAACUGCGUCUGAUACUGGAUGGCUUGAGUUUGGGAGAGGGACGCGGAAUUCCAGGUGUAGCGGUGAAAUGCGUAGAUAUCGUAAGGAAGACCAGUGGCGAAGGCGGGUCUCUGGACAGUUCCUGACGCUGAGGCACGAAGGCCAGGGGAGCAAACGGG